GCGGCGUGCCUAAUACAUGCAAGUCGAACGAACUCUGGUAUUGAUUGGUGCUUGCAUCAUGAUUUACAUUUGAGUGAGUGGCGAACUGGUGAGUAACACGUGGGAAACCUGCCCAGAAGCGGGGGAUAACACCUGGAAACAGAUGCUAAUACCGCAUAACAACUUGGACCGCAUGGUCCGAGUUUGAAAGAUGGCUUCGGCUAUCACUUUUGGAUGGUCCCGCGGCGUAUUAGCUAGAUGGUGGGGUAACGGCUCACCAUGGCAAUGAUACGUAGCCGACCUGAGAGGGUAAUCGGCCACAUUGGGACUGAGACACGGCCCAAACUCCUACGGGAGGCAGCAGUAGGGAAUCUUCCACAAUGGACGAAAGUCUGAUGGAGCAACGCCGCGUGAGUGAAGAAGGGUUUCGGCUCGUAAAACUCUGUUGUUAAAGAAGAACAUAUCUGAGAGUAACUGUUCAGGUAUUGACGGUAUUUAACCAGAAAGCCACGGCUAACUACGUGCCAGCAGCCGCGGUAAUACGUAGGUGGCAAGCGUUGUCCGGAUUUAUUGGGCGUAAAGCGAGCGCAGGCGGUUUUUUAAGUCUGAUGUGAAAGCCUUCGGCUCAACCGAAGAAGUGCAUCGGAAACUGGGAAACUUGAGUGCAGAAGAGGACAGUGGAACUCCAUGUGUAGCGGUGAAAUGCGUAGAUAUAUGGAAGAACACCAGUGGCGAAGGCGGCUGUCUGGUCUGUAACUGACGCUGAGGCUCGAAAGUAUGGGUAGCAAACAGGAUUAGAUACCCUGGUAGUCCAUACCGUAAACGAUGAAUGCUAAGUGUUGGAGGGUUUCCGCCCUUCAGUGCUGCAGCUAACGCAUUAAGCAUUCCGCCUGGGGAGUACGGCCGCAAGGCUGAAACUCAAAGGAAUUGACGGGGGCCCGCACAAGCGGUGGAGCAUGUGGUUUAAUUCGAAGCUACGCGAAGAACCUUACCAGGUCUUGACAUACUAUGCAAAUCUAAGAGAUUAGACGUUCCCUUCGGGGACAUGGAUACAGGUGGUGCAUGGUUGUCGUCAGCUCGUGUCGUGAGAUGUUGGGUUAAGUCCCGCAACGAGCGCAACCCUUAUUAUCAGUUGCCAGCAUUAAGUUGGGCACUCUGGUGAGACUGCCGGUGACAAACCGGAGGAAGGUGGGGAUGACGUCAAAUCAUCAUGCCCCUUAUGACCUGGGCUACACACGUGCUACAAUGGAUGGUACAACGAGUUGCGAACUCGCGAGAGUAAGCUAAUCUCUUAAAGCCAUUCUCAGUUCGGAUUGUAGGCUGCAACUCGCCUACAUGAAGUCGGAAUCGCUAGUAAUCGCGGAUCAGCAUGCCGCGGUGAAUACGUUCCCGGGCCUUGUACACACCGCCCGUCACACCAUGAGAGUUUGUAACACCCAAAGUCGGUGGGGUAACCUUUUAGGAACCAGCCGCCUAAGGUGGGACAGAU
rnacentral:rRNA from 1 species